GAACGCUGGCGGCAUGCCUUACACAUGCAAGUCGAACGGCAGCGGGGGGAGCUUGCUCCCUGACGGCGAGUGGCGGACGGGUGGGUAACACGUAGGAAUCUACCUUAAUUAUAAUAGUUAGUGGGGGAUAACCCGGGGAAACUCGGGCUAAUACCGCAUAAUCUCUUCAAAGCAAAGCGGGGGAUCUUCGGACCUCGUGCUAUGAGAUGAGCCUGCGUCGGAUUAGCUAGUUGGUAGGGUAAUGGCCUACCAAGGCGACGAUCCGUAGCUGGUCUGAGAGGACGAUCAGCCACACUGGGACUGAGACACGGCC
rnacentral:rRNA from 1 species